AUCAUGAGUUCACAUGUUCACAUGAUUAAAAGGUAUUCCGGUAGACGAUGGGGAUGCGUUCCAUUAGAUAGUAGGCGGGGUAACGGCCCACCUAGUCUUCGAUGGAUAGGGGUUCUGAGAGGAAGGUCCCCCACAUUGGAACUGAGACACGGUCCAAACUCCUACGGGAGGCAGCAGUGAGGAAUAUUGGUCAAUGGGCGAGAGCCUGAACCAGCCAAGUAGCGUGAAGGAUGACUGCCCUAUGGGUUGUAAACUUCUUUUAUAAAGGAAUAAAGUCGGGUAUGGAUACCCGUUUGCAUGUACUUUAUGAAUAAGGAUCGGCUAACUCCGUGCCAGCAGCCGCGGUAAUACGGAGGAUCCGAGCGUUAUCCGGAUUUUAUUGGGUUUAAAGGGAGCGUAGAUGGAUGUUUAAGUCAGUUGUGAAGUUUGCGG
rnacentral:rRNA from 1 species